CUAGAAAAAAACAAAAACAAAAAAAACUAGUGGAUUCAAUAACUAUAAGCGUACAUUAGCUUUCUAAUAAAAAAACGCAUAGAGGACACAAACUAUAGUAUAGUAUAAUUAAUAUACUAUGAACAUGCUUAUCAAACCUAAUAUAUAGCAACCUUUGUCCCCAUAUAUAGAUGGAGGAGGGCAUGCAUUGACCAUUGAAUUGUUGCUUCCAAUUAGUAGAAAAAAUUGUUCGCACUUCGCACACCUUUCCUAGCUGAACCGGUCAGCCAUCACGAGCCCCAGCUAACGGAUCUCGGAAGACCCCAGAUCGCUUAACAAGUCCAUGUUUAUUUUUCUUGGAGAAUAAUGGGUUCCAUCCAUCCUAUUGACAUUGAUUAGUUUGGUUUUGUAUUUUAAAAAAUAAAUUAGAAUUUUUUUGUCAUCAGAUCGUUUUGAUGUGUUAUAUAAAGAUUAUUUUUUCUUUUAAUAAAUAUUAUUUAAAUAAGUUAAAAACAUUAUUGUCAUUAAAAACAUUACUGUCAAUAUCCCCCCCCCCCACACACACCCAAAACAGUAAUACGCGGCUGUACUGAAAGUUUUUCUGAUUUGACCACAGCGUGGCAUGUUUUUCUGCCUCUUCGCGUACUCGGAAGCCUCGUCCCACCUUGUGUGGAUCAUUCAACUCCUACCAAAAGCAAAGGGAGAAGUUUGAAAACAAUGAAUAUGAGGAAAAUGAAGGACCAAUGAAUUGACAUGAAGCUUUAAAGGAGUUGAAUGAGAUAUGGGCGUAAAAGCUAAAGGCUAAUUCAAUGUAUGGCCAUAUCUUUCAGGCCUUCACGAAUCUGAAAUCGUCCCUCUCCUUUCAAUCCGUGUGACCACAGGAAAAGAAAAUAAUAAAAAUAAACCAAGCACAUGGUGUUUUUCUUUUUCUUUUUUUCCUUGCUAUUAUUACCACAACGUGCCUGCCUGCCUGCUUCGGUGCUUCGAGAUUGAAGCCUUGUUUUCUUCGUAUAAAUUGAACAGUGAAAUGGGUUUCUUUUAAUACUAAUAUUCAACCCACACGCAAAGACUUGAAUGAUUGAAUCGCCCUCAUGCACACACGAAUUUGACACGGGUU
rnacentral:lncRNA from 1 species